UUUCAGAGAAACUGCUAUGUUUAUUAAUGGGUUAAGCCUUCCCCCAAAGCCUCUAGUGGCUGUCUCAUUGACAGCCACUAGAGGCGCUUGCGUGCUUCUCACUGUGAUUUUCACAGUGAGGGCACGCAAGCGUCCAUAGGAAAGCAUUGUAAAUGCUUUCCUAUGCGACCGGCUGAAUGCGCGCGCAGCUCUUGCCGCGCGUGCACAUUCAGCCCAGGAGGAGGAGAGAAGGAGGAGAGCUC